rnacentral:rRNA from 1 species
UACUGAGGGUGCAAGCGUUAAUCGGAAUUACUGGGCGUAAAGCGCGCGUAGGCGGCUUGGUCAGUCGGGUGUGAAAGCCCCGGGCUCAACCUGGGAAUUGCAUCCGAUACUGCGAGGCUUGAGUACAAGAGAGGAGAGUGGAAUUCCCGGUGUAGCGGUGAAAUUCGUAGAUAUCAGGAGGAACACCGGUGGCGAAGGCGACUUCCUGGACCAAUACUGACGCUGAGGCGCGAAGGCGUGGGGAGCAAACAGG